rnacentral:rRNA from 1 species
ACGAAGGGUGCAAGCGUUACUCGGAAUUACUGGGCGUAAAGCGUGCGUAGGUGGUUCGUUAAGUCUGAUGUGAAAGCCCUGGGCUCAACCUGGGAAUGGCAUUGGAUACUGGCGACCUAGAGUGCGGUAGAGGGUAGCGGAAUUCCCGGUGUAGCAGUGAAAUGCGUAGAUAUCGGGAGGAACAUCCGUGGCGAAGGCGGCCUUCUGGUCGGAUACUGACGCUAAAACGCGAAAGCGUGGGGAGCAAACAGGA